rnacentral:rRNA from 1 species
UACAGAGGGUGCAAGCGUUGUUCGGAAUUAUUGGGCGUAAAGCGCGUGUAGGCGGCUUAACAAGUCGGGUGUGAAAGCCCUCGGCUCAACCGAGGAAGUGCGCCCGAAACUGUUUUGCUUGAGUCCCGGAGAGGGUGGCGGAAUUCCCCAAGUAGAGGUGAAAUUCGUAGAUAUGGGGAGGAACACCGGUGGCGAAGGCGGCCACCUGGCCGGAUACUGACGCUGAGACGCGAAAGCGUGGGUAGCAAACAGG